UAAAUUGUGAACAUUUUAUCUUGCAC
rnacentral:misc_RNA from 1 species